CAGAAGAGAGCAAGUUAAAUUGCCAGAGUUUCCCACCAAGGCUGACAGAGGUGAAAGGUGAGACCUUCACUUUCUCCACCAGAGGACAGCUGGAUGCCCUCCACCACUAUGCCACCCAACAAAAGGAAUUUCAUGGGCUGGUCUCAGAACUAAAAAAAAACCCCAAAGGAGUUGAAAAUUCCCCUUGGAGAGUGUCAGCAGGCAUCCAGAAUACAUCUCCAGGGUCACUUAAUUCCCUGGAUCCUACCCAACUAUUAUUGAAGUUAAUUGAAAAAAACUCCCAUUGCCUUGAAGAGGUUUUGGAUCCGACUCAAAUGGCUCAGUGGGAGCAGAUUACAAGUAGGAACCCCACUGUGCAAUUCCAGCCAUCUGCCUAUGGGUACAAAGCCUUCUGGAGGAUUCCUUCGAUUUAA
rnacentral:lncRNA from 1 species